AUGAACCGUGUCUGACCGGUGGUGCCGUGAAAGGCCGCGGCCUCGAGGACUAGUUCCCGCGUAUCAGGAAACACGUGUGACACAGGCGGCGUCGGCUGGACUCCCUGGGUGGUCGGGUUUCUUCUUGAAAGUUCCUCGAUUGCCUAGAAUACGCAUCUCAUUGGGGCCUCUUAUUCACACGAUAAAAGUGGUUGGUUUCCUCCACUAUGUUUGUGGACAACAUUUCUGGGCUGGAAGAUUCUGUUUUCCAUUCUAUUUCUCCAGCACAUUCCACCCGGAACCUUCCAGAAGUCAGCUGGCUGGCAUUCCUGCUCCGUACUACACCGCGGCACACAUGCCUCUGCCUGUUUGUGUUUACGGGCAAGGAGCCCGAGGGAGGGGGGAUGGCGUAUAGACUGAAGGAGUCACAACGGCUUUGACAGUAAGAGGCAUGGGUGCCAAGGCCCUGGGGCAUCCUGACUCGCCUCAGCAGGGCUACCUUCGGAGGAUGAAACGUUCCUCCUCCAAGCAGCACAGGGCAGUCCCUAGGUCAGGGACAACACAGGCCUGCAUCUCUCCGCGGUUGGUCUACAAGCAAGACUGAGUUGAACGCUACCAUUCCCAGCCUCCUUCCAACUGGUCCUGGCACAAGUGUGACGAGAUCUUAUCGAGGAGCUGGUUCUUCAUGAUCACCCCUGACCCAUCUUUGUGAAGCCCUCUCCCCACCUUCCCAUCUCCCCCAUGACUGUGAUCUGGGAGAAGAGGGUUUCAGCCUUUGUCCGCAGAGACUUCUUGUCUCCACUCAGAAAUGCCGCCUCAAGGACCCAGGAGCUGAAUCUCUGAAAAGUAAUCCUGGAGAAAGAUCCGCCUCACCUCCCCGGUCUCGGUCUCGGUCUCGGGGAGACAUGGGCCUGACUCGUCCCCGGGCUCCAGGCGGCCAAUGCGACCCGACAGGAGUGGCCCCAUCUGUGGCUACACAGAGGAGAGAUUUCUGUCUUCGCAGGGGGGCUGAACGUUUAUUCAAUAAUAAAAUGAAUUUCUGUCUCUUCUGCCUCUGUGAUGAGGUUGUCUCGGUUGGGAGGAGAGUUUGCUUUUCAUUGUAUUUCCCC